UACGGAGGGGACUAGCGUUGUUCGGAAUUACUGGGCGUAAAGCGCACGUAGGCGGAUCUGUAAGUCAGGGGUGAAAUCCCGGGGCUCAACCUCGGAACUGCCUUUGAUACUGCAAAUCUCGAGUCCGGAAGAGGUGAGUGGAAUUCCUAGUGUAGAGGUGAAAUUCGUAGAUAUUAGGAAGAACACCAGUGGCGAAGGCGGCUCACUGGUCCGGUACUGACGCUGAGGUGCGAAAGCGUGGGGAGCGAACAGG
rnacentral:rRNA from 1 species